CCAGGCUGAUGAUUGUUUCCUUUUCUCUCCUAUUCUCCUCCCUCCCUCGAUUGGAGGGGGGAAGUUUGGAGGAGGAGGAGGAGGAUGGGGACCAUUUUUUUUUUUUGGAAAACCAUCUUGUUUGGCGGCCGAGAGAUCUGGUUCAAAAAAAAAAAAAAGCUGCGGCUGCUGACGCCGUCGGGCUCGCGUGUGUGGAGAACUUACCUAGGUGCACGUUACAGAGGUGUCAGAGGGUAACAAGAUUUCAUGGACCUGGAGGUAAAGAACUUUUGAGAAAAGACGUCUCCAUGGGCCUACGGAAGCCUCAGUGGUGAAGUGGUCCUAUUUUUCCCACUUACUACAUUGUCCUCGCUCCUGCCAUCCUGGACUCAUCCAUGUGGGUAACUGCCACGAAGAUAGAUGCCCACUCGCCUUGUGUGGACAGCUCUCAGUUCUGCCCAGUAGGAGGUGCUGCAACGACAGAAGGCCAUUUCUUCUGCUGAAUUUUGAGCUUGGCCUUACCACUCGUGUUCGGCAUCUGGGCCAAAGGAGUGACAGGUUAACAUUCAGCUCAGAGUUCCAGGAGUGCCUUCAGGGGACCAGAGAGCUGAAAGAAAGCUGGCUUUUCUGAAAGUUGCUGCAGUGAGAAGACAUUUAUCAUUUUGAAUAAAGACUGAAGAAACUGUAGAAUUAGCA
rnacentral:lncRNA from 1 species